CGGGAAGGCAGCAGGGACCAGAUUAUGGCAGGCGGCCAGGCCAGGCCAGGCUCGGUAACUACCUGGAUGGAUUCAGAUGCCGUGGUAGAGCUUCAGAGGCCGUCUACACCCGCAGGGGUUGGGGAGUGACCUAACAGUUCGAGCUGGGCUGUCACUGCUGCCUCUGCCGGGCAGGUUAUUAGUUCAAGGUCGCUAAUGUGCCAGUCCUCAGGGGUGAGCUCACUGACGCCUGAGUGAGAUCAGUCACUCCGUGGGAAGCUAGCUGCCAUGUGGAAAGGCCAUUCAGGCAGCCUACGGAGAGGCCCUGCGGUGAGCUACUCCAGAGCCAGAGAGAAACUGAGGCCUACAAGCCACCACAUGGGUGAGCUCGGAAUUGGAUCCUCCAGCCCCAGCCGUAUGGAGACCUUCUAUGAGAACAAAGUAAAUCUGGAUGUCCCAGAAACCAAGAUAUGCUGAAAGAAAGAUAGAGUCCUGAUGAUAGAAUUUGAAUCCCUGAGUUCACACGUACCUGAAGCCAGAAGUUGUACCCUUUGAUCUUCCUCACUGCAUGAGCCAAUACAUUU